GCUCAAUUGAUCUCUCUAAAGUUUCAACUUCUAAUGACGAAAUCAUUUACAGUUCAAGAUCCAAAUCCAAACUGUUUCUGGUCCAACAUUUGCAUAAUAGUUUUCAAAAGAAUAUUUUCUUUUAACGAAAUGAGAAAAAGACGAACAUCAAUAUGCUAUGGAUUGAUACUGAUGUUGGAUGAUAAAGCUUUCAAGUCCAUACAUUGGCCAAAACUACAUACUGUAUGUGAAAAAGGACACACGUACACAGCGUCUGAGAACUUGAGAAGCACCACAAGAAAAAAAGAAAAAAAAGACGGAAAACAUGGAGAUACUUAGAAGGCAACAAAUGAAAUCAAAUGAAAGAUUCAUGUCUACUAUCUAAAUUGAGACCUAA